rnacentral:rRNA from 1 species
AACGUAGGUGGCAAGCGUUAUCCGGAUUUACUGGGCGUAAAGCGUGUGCAGGCGGGGGUACAAGUGGUGGAUGAAAUUUCCCAGCUUAACUGGGAAGGGUUAUGCCAGACUGUACUUCUGGAGUGCGAGAGAGGGGCGUGGAAUUCCGGGUGUAGUGGUGAAAUGCGUAGAGAUCCGGAAGAACACCGGUGGCGAAGGCGGCCUGCUGGGCAGUGGCUGACACUGAGGCGCGACAGCGUGGGGAGCAAACAGG